GAUGAACGCUGGCGGCGUGCCUAAUACAUGCAAGUCGAGCGAACAGACGAGGAUCUUGCUCCUCUGACGUUAGCGGCGGACGUGUGAGUAACACGUGGAUAACCUACCUAUAAGACUGGGAUAACUUCGGGAAUCCGGAGCUAAUACCGGAUAAUAUAUUGAACCGCGUGGUUCCAUAGUGAAAGACGGUUUUGCUGUCACUUCUAGAUGGAUCCGCGCCGCAUUAGCUAGUUGGUAAGGUAACGGCUUACCAAGGCUACGAUGCGUAACCGCCCUGCGAGGGUGAUCGGCCACACUGGAACGGGGACACGGUCCAGACGCCUACGGGAGGCAGCAGUAGGGAAUCGUCCGCAAUGGGCGAAAGCCUGAGGGAGCAACGCCGCGUGAGUGAUGAAGGUCUUCGGAUCGUAAAACUCUGUUAUUAGGGAAGAACAAAUGUGUACGUAACUAUGCACGUCUUGACGGUACCUGAUCAGAAAGCCACGGCUAACUACGUG
rnacentral:rRNA from 1 species